UACGGGAGGCAGCAGUGGGGAAUAUUGCACAAUGGGCGCAAGCCUGAUGCAGCCAUGCCGCGUGUAUGAAGAAGGCCUUCGAGUUGUAAAGUACUUUCAGUCGUGAGGAAGGUGUUAAGGUUAAUAACCUUAGCAAUUGACGUUAGCGACAGAAGAAGCACCGGCUAACUCCGUGCCAGCAGCCGCGGUAAUACGGAGGGUGCGAGCGUUAAUCGGAAUUACUGGGCGUAAAGGGCACGCAGGCGGUUAAUUAAGUUGGAUGUGAAAUCCCCGGGCUUAACCUGGGAAUGGCAUUCAAGACUGGUUAGCUAGAGUCUUGUAGAGGGGGUAGAAUUCCAUGUGUAGCGGUGAAAUGCGUAGAGAUGUGGAGGAAUACCGGUGGCGAAGGCGGCCCCUGGGACAAAGACUGACGCUCAUGUGCGAAAGCGUGGGGAGCAAACAGGAUUAGAUACC
rnacentral:rRNA from 1 species